CAGGAAAAGAAUGUUGGGCUCUAGCAUAUGUUUGUAACCUUCAGGUUUAUACAGAAAUACUGUUAUUGGGAAUAUGUGUUGUUCUUGUGCCAUUAAAGAACCCUAAAUCAUUUUGGAGAAUCUUUAUACAUAAAUCUAAUUAGAACCUAACAUUUAUUACAGCAGAGCUUGGGCCUGAAAACUCUUCGUUUCUCACUCCUUUGAUUGUUGGACUUGUUUGUGGAAUUUUACUGAUUCUUCUUCUUCUGCUGUUGUGUCGCUUCAAACUGUCAAAGGAUUCAUGCUUUAAGAGGCCUCAGAGCAAAAAUCAGCACUCUGCUACAAACCACAUGACCAAGCAAGAUGAAACUCAACACAUUUCUCCUGUUCAAGGUCAGCCUUCACCCUGUAUUGUUUUCUUGACAAAUUGUAAACUCUGAGCUUAAUACAUUACGUCCUGAUUAGAUGUAUUAGAAGAUGCUCAAAUUGCUAUAUAUGACUAUUUAUUUUGUAUUAUUUAUUUAACCAUUGGCUUGAUUUUACUCUGUAUGUGAUUCUUUUUUCUACAAAUCAAAUAAAGACAUCAAUGACACAGAAAAAGGCACAGUAUGUACCAUGGAA